rnacentral:lncRNA from 1 species
GGAGCAAUAAAAAUGAGGUCAAAGAAGGAAAGACGCUCUGGAAAUCGUGUACAGGUGCGACCACAGGAGACCAAUGGCUGUAUGGCUGUCACAUCCUUAUGGAAAAGCGGCAGCCCCUGCCAUCAUGAGGGAAAGGAAAGAUUCGAUGCGUUUAGUGCUUCAGCGUCACGCGCUAGCAGACGUCAGAGGAUCAAAGUUGCCGCCCAGCUAUAAAAUAGGGAACUGCCGAGUGCAUCUCAAGCAGACUGCUGUCAAUGUCGCUUAAGUGACUCCCGUCAACACUCGCCGGUUUUGUUGCGUCAGUGUGGCGUUGAGCGAAGACGACGUUAGGUCAGCCCCGUGCACUUCAGAACUCGUGGAUUGGACUCGUUGUUACCACAGUCUAAACUCGAGGCCUAUCCCACGUAAGAUCUAGCGUCGCAAGUGUACCGGGCAAGCUGACUGUAAAGAUGAGAACUGUACUGCCGCUUGAGGCGUUCUAUGCUGGCGAAGAUGUGCAUUCUGGUGAGUGAGAGAUUCUGCCGCAUUCAUGCCUGUUUUUGGGGUCUCGGCUGUACCCUACACGUGAUAAGCUCGCCAUUCGAAGUUGAAGAGAAGCUAGCAUACCAUCUGAACUUUGCGCCCUUUCUGACGUCUACGUCUGUUUACAGUCUUGUAUUUAUUGGAGAUCACAGCGUUUUUAUCGCUUGGACGCAUAUCAGGCACGCGAAGCUAAUAGCCUAUAUCGGUCAGCUUGCUCCUCAUGCAAAAAGGCAGACGCGACGCGGCAGCUGGCUUGUACGUAACUGCACUUUUCUCUACCCUUACACACGCUAGCGGAGACGUAGGUGAAGCGAACGCACAACAAAUACCUGCGAAACGAAUAUGUCACCAUCGUGUACGCAUUUCGAGGUGCUGUGGUACGAGCAUCACCGUUGAGCAUGGGAGUAACCGAACUCAGUGAACAGAAUCUGAACGGCAUUAAUUUUAGGUAGAGCAGUCACGGGAGAAAAUCGCUAUAACGCUCAAGGAUUGUCAGAAGGCGUGUGCACUACAAGGCAUUUCUCCGCACCGUACACACUCCUCUCCUGCCUUCGAAGACCGUUUAAAGGAGGGGAGAUAACGUUACUGUGUGGAAACAAGACCAAGACAAGGUGCUCUUGGUGACAUUUGGUCUCGUUGCUAAAGAUUCGUUGACACUAUAUGCUGUUGGUGUCUAGCUGUAUCAGAGCAGGUUGAUUGAUGGUUUCCAGC